rnacentral:rRNA from 1 species
GCAAGUCGAACGAGAACGGAUUUUAGCUUGCUAAAAUUGUCAGCUAAGUGGCGCACGGGUGAGUAAUAUAUAGGUAACGUGCCCUAGAGAAGAGGAUAACAUCUGGAAACGGUUGCUAACACUCUAUAUGCCUUUAAGUCAUAAGACUGCAAGGGAAAUAUUUAUAGCUCUAGGAUGGGACUGUACGGUAUCAGAUAGUUGGUGAGGUAAUGGCUCACCAAGUCAAUGACGCCUAACUGGUUUGAGAGGAUGAUC